rnacentral:rRNA from 1 species
UACGAAGGGGGCUAGCGUUGUUCGGAUUUACUGGGCGUAAAGCGCACGUAGGCGGCCUGAUAAGUCGGGUGUGAAAGCCCUGGGCUCAACCCAGGAAGUGCACUCGAAACUGUCAGGCUUGAAUAUGGAAGAGGGUCGCGGAAUUCCCGGUGUAGAGGUGAAAUUCGUAGAUAUCGGGAGGAACACCAGUGGCGAAGGCGGCGACCUGGGCCAAUAUUGACGCAUGAG